rnacentral:lncRNA from 1 species
UGACGUGCCCCUCCUUUUGUACUUGAGUUAUUUCUCGGUCUUUAUUGUGAUAUACACUAUGUCCUCCAACUCCAGAUGGUUUUGUAACUCUAUAAUAUUAGCAAUUUCUAUAUUAAGACCUCCUAAGAAUCUUGUCAUGGUAGUAUCGAGAUCUUCUUUGAUAUUGGCUAUAAUCAUGAACAUCUUCAUCUCCUUAUGAUAAUUCUCAAUGAACAUAGGUCUCUGUGUCAAAUGUUACAAUUUUUAGUGUAUGUCUCUAUAAUAGUCAGACAUAUGAACCUUUUUUGCAUGAUGAUCUUCACCUCUCUCCAAGUGCAGACAGAUUGUUUCCUAUUACAGUGUCUAGUGAGGAUUAACUAAUCUCAUCAUAUUAUAGCAUAGUUGAUGAAAUCUACAGUUGCUAGCUUGAUCUUUUUUUCCUCAUUAUAGUUAUGAAAGUGAAACACU